rnacentral:rRNA from 1 species
AUUGAACGCUGGCGGCAGGCCUAACACAUGCAAGUCGAGCGGAUGAGGGGAGCUUGCUCCCUGAUUUAGCGGCGGACGGGUGAGUAAUGCGUAGGAAGCUGCCCGAUAGAGGGGGAUACCAGUUGGAAACGACUGUUAAUACCGCAUAAUGUCUACGGACCAAAGUGUGGGACCUUCGGGCCACAUGCUAUCGGAUGCGCCUACGUGGGAUUAGCUAGUUGGUGAGGUAAUGGCUCACCAAGGCGACGAUCUCUAGCUGGUUUGAGAGGAUGAUCAGGCACACUGGAACUGAGACACGGGCCAGACUCCUACGGGAGGCAGCAGUGGGGAAUAUUGGACAAUGGGCGCAAGCCUGAUCCAGCCAUGCCGCGUGUGUGAAGAAGGCCUUCGGGUUGUAAAGCACUUUCAGCGAGGAGGAAGGGUGGUGUGUUAAUAGCACAUCAUUUUGACGUUACUCGCAGAAGAAGCACCGGCUAACUCUGUGCCAGCAGCCGCCGCGGUAA